GAGGAAUAUUGGUCAAUGGACGAGAGUCUGAACCAGCCAAGUAGCGUGCAGGAUGACGGCCCUAUGGGUUGUAAACUGCUUUUGUAUGGGGAUAAAGUCAAUCACGUGUGAUUGUUUGCAGGUACCAUACGAAUAAGGACCGGCUAAUUCCGUGCCAGCAGCCGCGGUAAUACGGAAGGUCCGGGCGUUAUCCGGAUUUAUUGGGUUUAAAGGGAGCGUAGACCGGAGAUUAAGUGUGUUGUGAAAUGUAGACGCUCAACGUCUGACUUGCAGCGCAUACUGGUUUCCUUGAGUACGCACAACGUAGGCGGAAUUCGUCGUGUAGCGGUGAAAUGCUUAGAUAUGACGAAGAACUCCGAUUGCGAAGGCAGCUGACGGGAGCGCAACUGACGCUUAAGCUCGAAGGUGCGGGUAUCGAACAGGAUUAGAUACCCUGGUAGUCCGCACAGUAAACGAUGGAUGCCCGCUGUUGGUACCUGGUAUCAGCGGCUAAGCGAAAGCAUUAAGCAUCCCACCUGGGGAGUACGCCGGCAACGGUG
rnacentral:rRNA from 1 species